GUCCACGCCGUAACGAUGGAUACUAGCUGUUGGCGCAAGUUCAGUGGCUAAGCGAAGUGAUAAGUAUCCCACCUGGGAGUACGUUCGCAAGAAUGAACUCAAGGAAUUGACGGGCCCGCACAAGCGGUGGAGCAUGUGGUUUAAUUCGAUGAUACGCGAGGAACCUUACCAAGGCUUAAAUGUAGAUUGACAGGACUGGAAACAGUUUUCUUCGGACAAUUUACAAGGUGCUGCAUGGUUGUCGU
rnacentral:rRNA from 1 species